rnacentral:tRNA from 1 species
GGGAAUGGAAGGGUACCUGGUGGGCCUCGCGGGCUUCAAACCCGUUGUGUUGCGGCAAGAGUCGUGACAGGUGAGUUCGAUUCUCACGCAUUCCCG